UUUUAGAACUAAAAUGGUGGAUUUUCAGGUGGUAUCAAUGGCUGAAAGAGUAACGGGUUUGAACAGUUAUGGCCUUCUCUUGUGUGAGAGUAAUGGAGCUUUUUUUCUUAGAUGAAUUUGACUCUUGAGGAGAAGAAAAUCAGCAUCUGAUGAUCUCCUUAGUUUUUCUAGCAUUUCCUUUAUGUUCUGUAUUCAGUCGCACCUUAUUGAAGAAGAA
rnacentral:lncRNA from 1 species